rnacentral:rRNA from 1 species
UACGAAGGGGGCUAGCGUUGCUCGGAAUGACUGGGCGUAAAGGGCGCGUAGGCGGAUGGCACAGUCAGAUGUGAAAUUCCCGGGCUUAACCUGGGGGCUGCAUUUGAUACGUGUGAUCUAGAGUGAGGAAGAGGGUCGUGGAAUUCCCAGUGUAGAGGUGAAAUUCGUAGAUAUUGGGGAAGAACACCGGUGGCGAAGGCGGCGACCUGGUCCUUGACUGACGCUGGGGGCGCGAAAGCGUGGGGAGCAAACAGG